rnacentral:rRNA from 1 species
CCUACGGGUGGCAGCAGUGGGGAAUAUUGGGCAAUGGGCGCAAGCCUGACCCAGCAACGCCGCGUGAAGGAAGAAGGCUUUCGGGUUGUAAACUUCUUUUGUCAGGGAAGAGUAGAAGACUGUACCUGACGAAUAAGCCACGGCUAACUACGUGCCAGCAGCCGCGGUAAUACGGAGGUGGCAAGCGUUGUCCGGAUUUACUGGGUGUAAAGGGCGUGUAGCCGGGUUGACAAGUCAGAUGUGAAAUCCUGCGGCUUAACCGCAGAACUGCAUUUGAAACUGUUGAACUGGAGUGCUGGAGAGGCAGAGGGAAUUCCUGGUGUAGCGGUGAAAUGCGUAGAUAUUAGGAGGAACACCAGUGGCGAAAGCGGUCUGCUGGACAGCAACUGACGGUGAGGCGCGAAAGCGUGGGGAGCAAACAGGAUUAGAUACCCCUGUAGUC